rnacentral:rRNA from 1 species
GAUGAACGCUGGCGGCGUGCCUAAUACAUGCAAGUCGAGCGAACGGACGAGAAGCUUGUUUCUCUGAUGUUAGCGGCGGACGGGUGAGUAACACGUGGAUAACCUACCUAUAAGACUGGGAUAACUUCGGGAAACCGGAGCUAAUACUGGAUAAUAUUUUGAACCGCAUGGUUCAAAAGUGAAAGACGGUCUUGCUGUCACUUAUAGAUGGAUCCGCGCUGCAUUAGCUAGUUGGUAAGGUAACGGCUUACCAAGGCAACGGUGCAUAGCCGGCCUGAGAGGGUGAUCUGCCGCAUUGCAGCUGGGACAAGGACCAGACUCCUACGGGAGGCAGCGGUAGGGAUUCUUCCGCAAUGGGCGAAAGCCUAACGGGGCAAAGCCGCGUGAGUGAUGAAUGUCUUCGGAUCGUAAAACUCUGUUAUUAGGGAAGAACAUAUGUGUGAGAGACUGUACACAUCUUGACGGUACCUAAUCAGAAAGCCACGGCUAACUACGUG